rnacentral:ncRNA from 1 species
UUGUUUUAUGAAAGGAGAGGUUAGCACUCCCCUUGACAAAGAUGGAAGAGGCUCUCAGGCCUGAAAAUAUGCAUAUGGUUAAGGCACUGCCACCUGCUUCAUGGAGUAUGACCAUCAUUAAAA